GGAAAUCAUGUAACAUUUACAACCAAACUUUACCCAACCAUCUGGACAUUCCUGUUUACAAAGCAGUGCUCUGUUCCGUCAGAUUCUUCAGCGUUAGAAGAAUCUUCUCCUUGACAGUCCUGUAUUUAACGGCCAACCCAAGCAGUCCAGCCAGCAGGACCACAGACAGUAGGCCCAGAAGCACCACAACAGCCCUGAUAGGACACCAAGGAGGGCUCACAGCGUCCGGCCGCUGACUUCUUCCUGUUCCCAGAGACUUGGAGGACUCCUCUGUCCCCACAGAGUCCUGGUGUGGAUCUCCGA